AUUGAACGCUGGCUGCAGGCCUAACACAUGCAAGUCGAGCGAGCGGCUGACGGGUGAGUAAUGUCUGGGAAACUGCCUGAUGGAGGGGGGUAACUACUGGAAACGGUAGCUCAUACCGCAUACCAUCAGAUGUGCCCCGAUGGGAUUAGCUAGUAGGUUGGGUAAUGGCUCACCUAGGCGACGAUCCCUAGCUGGUCUGAGAGGAUGACCAGCCACACUGGAACUGAGACACGGUCCAGACUCCUACGGGAGGCAGCAGGGGGGAAUAGUGCACAAGGGGCGCAGGCCUGAUGCAGCCAUGCCGCGUGUGUGAAGAAGGCCUUCGGGUUGUAAAGCACUUUCAGCGGGGAGGCGUUACCCGCAGAAGAAGCACCGGCUAACUCCGUGCCAGCCGCCGCGGUAAUAC
rnacentral:rRNA from 1 species